AUGAGGAUCCAUUACCUUCUUUUUGCAUUUCUCCUGGUGCUGCUGUGUCCACUUGCAACGUUUAGCUAAAAAAAUCAACAAUCCAGUAAAUUUCUAAUGAGAGGAGGCAAAUGCCAGUAUAAGUGCAUUGGCAAUAUUCGUCAGAUUGGCAUUUGCCCUGUUUCUUUACUCAAAUGCUGAAAGAAGAAUACAAAGAUCCCAUGA